UAAAAACCAAAUGUAAUUGCUUCAAGUAGUCAAUGCUUAAUAUUCAAUUUUCAAUUUCAUUCUGAGACCUACAAUCAAGACAUCAGCAUUUCAUACUUCCACGCACUGAAAUGAAAAAAUGAAAAGUAAUGAAACUGCUGACAGGAGCACAAAUGGUUUAAAGAAAAUAUCAAACGCAAGACCCUUCCUUCGCUCAAUCGCAAAGGAGGAAGAAAAAGGGUUUUCCCUUUAACACCUCCAGAGAUGUUUGUGUGUGUGGGUGAGUUCGUAUCCCAAAAGAAAAAGGCAAAAAGAAAAAGAAAAAGGACAAGACAAUGGGGCCCGCCUUUCCAGUUUGGUUGGGCGUGUGACAGUUACAGCCAUUUCAGCUUUACAAUCUCUUCAAAUUAAAUUGACCCACGUCAGAAUUGGUUGAGGGGAACCAAAAAAAUGAAGGUCUCACGGAGAAGGGUUUUCCCUAUGUAGGCUGUCCUCCUGUCCCUCACAUGUCAAUUUUUCUUUCCCUUUCGAGUGGAAAUAAAGGAAACGGAAUAAAGGAUUAGUGGCGCAUUUUUAUACCCUCAAUGCAAUAAGAACGUUGUGACAGGCGCCUCCUAUAAUCGCAGUUAUUUCAAUAAAAUAAAAUAAAAUCCCCAACUAUAUUUGUUUAGGUACUCUUCAUGUAAUAUCCAUUUGCAAAGGUGACUAGAUGAAAAUAGCCCGAAAUCUGAAAAACGACAUCAAGUUGGCCGAGAACUUUGCUGUCAUUACUUUUUUCGCAGCCAAAACUGUAAUUUGAGCUACAGUCUACAGAAAUUUCAUUCGCCUUCGACACGGGCAACAAGCUGGGUCAUAUUUUCGGAACAAGUUACAAAAUUUGAAUCUAAAUUCUCAAUGUGAAAAAAAUACAAUGGACUUGAUUCCUCGCCCAAAUCGGAAGAAUCGAAGCCAUCAAUUCAUGCUGCUGACAAGGCGUCGAUUCCUCCACGGACGGGAGAUAUCAUAUAGAAACACUCAUGGCUGCCGGCGACGUUUAACGAUGAUCACCAGGCGGCCCAGUUUGGGGGGCCAUACAUCCAUCCAUCCAUCCAGCUGCAAAUGAACCACAUCACUAUGGACUAUCGUUCAAAUGGUGCUACCACAAGAAGUGAAAGUAGCACCUCAACACGUUGCUGAUAUGCUGCAUACUGCGUACACACACACACACACACACACACACACACAACUUUAACAACGGCGUAAUCGGCUGCCCAAUUGUAUUGCUCGGCAUUAGACGUUUUGUAAAUGCGGUUUACAAUUAGUACUGCCAAUUUACACACAUUUCCUUAUUAUUUUUAUCGUAAACCAAUUAAAUCCAAUAAUGCAGAAAUGUACUACUCACACUCACACAACACAGAAGCUAAUAUACUUCAUUGAUGCAGAAUUUGAAAUUGAAUUUAACACAUCGGCGUACUUCUUAUAUCAUUUCCUAACACUGAAAAACACCGAAUGUUGUAGCAAAUACACUGAAUAUCCAACUCAUUUCCCAUAUGUACAUACACAAAUAAAAUGGGAGGGCAUCCCAAAAGAACAAAAAAA